ACCCCGGCCCUUUUCAGGGCCACCAACAUCUCAAAAAGAGCUGUAG
rfam:Branchiostoma floridae genomic scaffold BRAFLscaffold_174, whole genome shotgun sequence.